GGGGUACCUGCGGAGGGAUCAUUACUGAGUUUACGCUCUACAACCCUUUGUGAACAUACCUAUAACUGUUGCUUCGGCGGGUAGGGUCUCCGUGACCCUCCCGGCCUCCCGCCCCCGGGCGGGUCGGCGCCCGCCGGAGGAUAACCAAACUCUGAUUUAACGACGUUUCUUCUGAGUGGUACAAGCAAAUAAUCAAAACUUUUAACAACGGAUCUCUUGGUUCUGGCAUCGAUGAAGAACGCAGCGAAAUGCGAUAAGUAAUGUGAAUUGCAGAAUUCAGUGAAUCAUCGAAUCUUUGAACGCACAUUGCGCCCGCCAGCAUUCUGGCGGGCAUGCCUGUUCGAGCGUCAUUUCAACCCUCAAGCUCUGCUUGGUGUUGGGGCCCUACAGCUGAUGUAGGCCCUCAAAGGUAGUGGCGGACCCUCCCGGAGCCUCCUUUGCGUAGUAACUUUACGUCUCGCACUGGGAUCCGGAGGGACUCUUGCCGUAAAACCCCCAAUUUCCAAAGGUGACCUCGAUCAGGUAGGAUCA
rnacentral:rRNA from 1 species